AGUUAUAAAGCUUUAAGAAUAAUCAAGCCUGUGCCUUGAAAACACAAGAAAGGAGUUGAAUCCUCCUAAUAACUU
rnacentral:tRNA from 1 species